ACACGUCUACAUUAGAUACCCCUGUAGUCCCAGCCGUAAACUAUGCGCGUUAGGUGUAUCGGUGACCACGAGUUACCGAGGUGCCGAAGGGAAACCGUGAAACGUGCCGCCUGGGAAGUACGGUCGCAAGGCUGAAACUUAAAGGAAUUGGCGGGGAGCACCACAACGGGUGGAGCCUGCGGUUUAAUUGGACUCAACGCCGGGAAGCUCACCGGAUAGGACAGCAGAAUGAUUGCCGGGCUGAAGACCCUGCAUGACUAGCUG
rnacentral:rRNA from 1 species